CCUCUUCUAAAAAUGAAACCUACAUCUAUCUCUGAGUUGUGAAGAAUAUGUAUUAAGGUUAUAACAACCAACAAGAAUGCACUUUUAUGUAGAAAUUCAUGACUAAAUCGAGUCUUUCUGAUUAGUGAUUUAAAUAAUGAUUUAAACCAAAUCCACCCUGUGGGAGUGUGAGCCUAGAUGAUACCAU